rnacentral:rRNA from 1 species
AGCGAACGCUGGCGGCAAGCUUAACACAUGCAAGUCGAACGAUGUAGCAAUACAUAGUGGUGGACGGGUGCGUAACACGUGGGAAUCUGCCUUUAGGUAAGGAAUAACUCAGGGAAACUUGAGCUAAUACCUUAUAAUGUCUUCGGACCAAAAAUUUAUUGCCUAAAGAUGAGCCCGCGGUAGAUUAGCUAGUUGGUGGGGUAAUGGCCUACCAAGGCAACGAUCUAUAGCUGGUCUUAGAGGAUGAUCAGCCACACUGGGACUGAGACACGGCCCAGACUCCUACGGGAGGCAGCAGUGGGGAAUAUUGGGCAAUGGACGAAAGUCUGACCCAGCUAUGCCGCGUGAAUGAUGAAGGCCUUAGGGUUGUAAAGUUCUUUUACCGGGGAAGAUAAUGACGGUACCCGGAGAAAAAGCUCCGGCUAACUUCGUGCCAGCAGCCGCGGUAA